CAACAGACCAACAUGGCUCAAACCCAGACUAACCAAUUCCAUGCGCAAGCGAUUGCAAAACUUGAGGUUAGUCUGAGCCAAAUAGCCAACUCUUUAGGGGAUAGGAAGAAAGGUGAAUUGCCCAGUCAGCCAGUGCCUAACCCUAGUAGGCAACAGAAUCAAGGGCCGAGAGGCCAGUUUCAGAUUGAUUCUAAUGGAAACCCUAUCCAUGAAGUCCAGGCAAUUACCACUUUACGGUCUGGCAAGCAAGUGGACAACAAAGUCCAACUUCCUGUGCAAGAAAAAAAAGAAAAACAUGAACCAAACCCCACCCAGAAAAACGCACAAGAACAGGGAACACAAGG
rnacentral:lncRNA from 1 species